rnacentral:rRNA from 1 species
UACGUAGGGUGCAAGCGUUAAUCGGAAUUACUGGGCGUAAAGCGCGCGCAGGUGGUUUCUUAAGUCUGAUGUGAAAGCCCACGGCUCAACCGUGGAGGGUCAUUGGAAACUGGGGAACUUGAGUGCAGAAGAGGAAAGUGGAAUUCCAAGUGUAGCGGUGAAAUUCGUAGAUAUCAGGAGGAACACCGGCGGCGAAGGCGGCUUCCUGGCCCAUUACUGACGUUCAGGUACGAAAGCGUGGGGAGCAAACAGG